rnacentral:rRNA from 1 species
UACAGAGGUGGCAAGCGUUGUUCGGAAUUACUGGGCGUAAAGGACGCGUAGGCGGUCUUGCAAGUCCUGUGUGAAAUCCCUCGGCUCAACUGAGGAACUGCACAGGAAACUGCUUGGCUUGAGUUCGGGAGAGGGAAGCGGAAUUCCGGGUGUAGCGGUGAAAUGCGUAGAUAUCUGGAGGAACACCGGUGGCGAAGGCGGCAUCCUGGACCGAGAUUGACGCUGAGGCGCGAAAGCCAGGGGAGCAAACAGG